rnacentral:rRNA from 1 species
AUGGCAGCAUCAGCCAGCGAGCAUAGUGCCGUCGACAUAGCACCUACGACGAUUGCUGUUGUCAAGCCGCCGGCUGAUGGCAAGACCUGUGUGAGCCAGAAGGUGCUGUCGGUGUCGGCGAACCUGGUGCAGCUGCUGCCGACGGGGUCGGUGAUGGCGUACCAGAUAUUGGCGCCGUCCUUCAGCAACCAGGGCAAGUGCUACCCCUCCAACUGGUGGAUCACGCUCGGGCUCGUCAUCGUGCUAGCCGCCUCCUGCGUCUUCUUCGCCUUCACCGACUCCAUCAUCCACAAAGGUAAGGUGUAUUACGGAAUAGCCACGAUCGAUGGCAUGAACAUAUUCAACAUAUCGAGGGACGAUCAGAAGAAGGAGUUCGAAGGCCUGGAGUCCGAGCUCAAGAAGCGGCAUAUCAAGAAGCAGGACUUUUCUCACGCCUUCCUCACCGUUGUCGUCUUCCUCACCAUGGCCUUCAGCGACGUCGGGCUCCAGAACUGCUUCUUCCCCAAGGCCGGCACCGACGCCCAGCAGCUGCUCAAGAACCUGCCGCUGGGAAUGGCCGUCUUCUCCAGUCUAGUCUUCACCAUCUUCCCAAGCAAAAGGAACUUCAUCGGAUGCAACGACCCCAACGGUGACGGUUAUGACGACAUCGCCAAAGUCGUCGCUCAAUCACCAUCAACUGUCACUAUUACAAAUACAACCCCACCAUGCCCUAGAUGUGCUCGCUAA